CCCUAGUAACUGCGAGUGAAGCGGGAAAAGCUCAAAUUUAAAAUCUGGCAGUCUCUGGCUGUCCGAGUUGUAAUCUAGAGAAGUAAUGCCCGUGCUGGACCGUGUAUAAGUCUCCUGGGAUGGGGCGUCAUAGAGGGUGAGAAUCCCGUCUUUGACACGGACUACCAGUGCAUUGUGGUAUGCUCUCAAAGAGUCGAGUUGUUUGGGAAUGCAGCUCAAAAUGGGUGGUAAAUUCCAUCUAAAGCUAAAUAUUGGCGAGAGACCGAUAGCGAACAAGUACCGUGAGGGAAAGAUGAAAAGAACUUUGGAAAGAGAGUUAAACAGUACGUGAAAUUGCUGAAAGGGAAACGCUUGAAGUCAGUCGCGUUGGCCGGGAAUCAGCCUUGCUUUUGCAUGGUGUACUUUCUGGUUGACGGGUCAGCAUCAAUUUUGACCACUGGAAAAAGGCCUGGGGAAUGUGGCAGCUUCGGCUGUGUUAUAGCCCCUAGUCACAUACAGUGGUUGGGAUUGAGGAACUCAGCACGCCGCAAGGCCGGGUUUCGACCACGUUCGUGCUUAGGAUGCUGGCAUAAUGGCUUUAAGCGACCCGUCUUGAAACACGGACCAAGGAGUCUAACAUGCCUGCGAGUAUUUGGGUGGAAAACCCAAGUGCGUAAUGAAAGUGAAAGUUGAGAUCCCUGUCGUGGGGAGCAUCGACGCCCGGACCAGAACUUUUGGGACGGAUCCGCGGUGGAGCAUGUAUGUUGGGACCCGAAAGAUGGUGAACUAUGCCUGAAUAGGGUGAAGCCAGAGGAAACUCUGGUGGAGGCUCGUAGCGAUUCUGACGUGCAAAUCGAUCGUCAAAUUUGGGUAUAGGGGCGAAAGACUAAUCGAACCAUCUAGUAGCUGGUUCCUGC
rnacentral:rRNA from 1 species